rnacentral:misc_RNA from 1 species
UGCUAAAGAUAGCGUCGUAUUGUUUAAACGUCUCGAGUGAUUCAUUAUUUUGUGUCAAAAAAUGCCGUCUUGUGUUAUAUUAAACAUUGUGAAAGUUGUUCCCAAAAAUAAAAAAAGAGGAUGGAAUUUCAUUUCACAGAUUGCCGACAGAUGUUGUUCUACGCGAGGAAUGGGUUUCUAUUAUUCGCCAAAGCAGGCAAGACAAUAAUUGGCAGGCUUCAAAAUUUUGCGUUGUGUGUCCAUCACAUUUUAAAGAGGAUGUCUUAUGCUUUACCGAAAAAUGUCGUAGGUUGAUAAAAAAAAAUCCAAUUUAAUUAUUUGUAAUACUAUCUUAUCUUUGGUCUAGUAUUUAAGUUGUCUGUAUAUCGAUGUAUGUGUGUGUGUG